AUUUUGCGCAGUUUGCAUUUGCUCGAAGUGAGGUUUUAAAAAUGAAUUUGCUAUUAAAUUUAGCAGUGGACAACUUGGAAAUUAACGACAGCGUCUUGUUAUUAAAAUAUAAAAAAUCAAGGAGUCAAAGCUUUCGGAAAAGAAAGUGGCUUAUGACCGAAAUUUUAAGGAAGAGGACAGUGGCAAAAUCGGCAAAUUUCUUCAAAACAAUUCAGUUGUAUCCGGACGAUAUAUAUUUCACGCAUUUUCGGAUGCCCCGCGAAACAUUUGCUGAAUUAAAGAACGCCUUAAAACCUUUUUGAUCAACGGCACGCGGUGAAUAUUCAUUGGAUGAUGCUUUAUAUAUCACACUGUGGAAGCUAAGCAACAGUAGAGUGACUUAUCGCGAGCUAUCAGACAAAUUUGAUGUUGCAAAGGGAACUGACCAUAAAAUUUUUCUUAAAACCGUCCGGGCAAUCUGCAAGCUUACAAAUGAAAUACGUUGGCCAUCAGUUUCGCAGCAGCAGGAAAUCAUGGAGCAUUUCCAAACGAGCCGGGUGAAUACAUUUCCUUUUGUAGUCGGUUGUUUGGACGGAACGCAUUUUAAAAUAAACACACCAAAAACGGAUGCAAUAAGCUACUAUGACCGAAAGGGGAACCAUUCAAUUCAGGCUAUAUGCGACAGUAAAUUUAGUUUUUUGGAUGUUUUUAUCGGCUACCCAGGCAGCUGCCAUGAUGCCAACGUAUGGAAAAAUAGUCCAAUAUACAAAGGAAUUACGUCUGGACGGGUGGAACUCGCAAAAGAUGCAAUAAUUUUAGCCGACUCAGCCUAUCCUCUAUCAAAAUAUUUGAUCGCGCCUUAUAGAGACAAUGGACAUCUGUCCAGAGAGGAGAAACAAUUUAAUUAUUAUUUAAGUUCAACUAAAGUGUUCAUUGAGCAAACCUUUGGAAUUUUGAGAGGAAAAUUCAAAAUUUUAAAUCACAUUGAUGUUCGAAAUAUGAGAGACGUAUCGAAUGUUAUUAUUAUUAGCUUGUGCAACUUUGCAUAAUUUUAUAUUGCGAGACAAUUUUGAAGUUAAUCAUCCAUUGGAAAAUUCGGAAACUUUGAUAGAUCAGGAUGCCGAAAUGGCUGAAAACAUAAAUGAUACUAACG